rnacentral:rRNA from 1 species
GACGAACGCUGGCGGCGUGCUUAUCACAUGCAAGUCGAACGGAAAGGCCCUGCUUUUGUGGGGUGCUCGAGUGGCGAACGGGUGAGUAACACGUGAGUAACCUGCCCUUGACUUUGGGAUAACUUCAGGAAACUGGGGCUAAUACCGGAUAGGAGCUCCUGCUGCAUGGUGGGGGUUGGAAAGUUUCGGCGGUUGGGGAUGGACUCGCGGCUUAUCAGCUUGUUGGUGGGGUAGUGGCUUACCAAGGCUUUGACGGGUAGCCGGCCUGAGAGGGUGACCGGCCACAUUGGGACUGAGAUACGGCCCAGACUCCUACGGGAGGCAGCAGUGGGGAAUAUUGCACAAUGGGCGGAAGCCUGAUGCAGCAACGCCGCGUGCGGGAUGACGGCCUUCGGGUUGUAAACCGCUUUCGCCUGUGACGAAGCGUGAGUGACGGUAAUGGGGAAAGAAGCACCGGCUAACUACGU